UAGUUUUUUGUUUACUAUAUUUUGUUGUAUUUUUAUAUUAUUUGUUAAAAUUAAUUUUACUUAUUUAUUUCUUAGUAUUUUAUAUAGAACUGAGUUUUGUUAGUAAUAGUUUAUUAGUAUUGUAAAAGAAUAUUGAAAUAGUUUGAAAAAUUAGUUUUGUUAAAGAAGAUUUCGGUUAUUGUACCUUGUGUAUCAGGGUUUAUCUAAUAUUUAAUAUUUAUUUAUUUAUCUCGAUUUUAAAUGAUUUAGUGAUUCAAUUUAGUUAAUGUUGUAUAAUUAUUAUUAAUGGGUUGCUGGAAAUGAUAAGUUAUUCGUUUUUAAAUAUAUCUAGUUUUCUAAGAAAUGAAUUUAAUUCAUUUAAUAUAAAUGAGUUAUUCUUUAUUUUUUGCAGGAUAAUUAUUUUAUUUUAUUUAUAUAUUAUGGGAUAAGCUUUAAUAUAAAUGUUUAAAAGAAACUUGUAUUUUGGCUUAUUUAUAGGCUUAGAAUUAGCUAUUGAUUGUGAUUUUGUUAUAAAUUAUUUAUUUGAUAUGUAUAUAUUAUUUAUUUUUUUCUUUAGAUUGUUUAUUGGAAUUUUUACUUUAAUUUUUUAAGUUGGGUAAUAGUGAUGGAAUUAGUAUAUUUAAUUAUGUUUUUAAUAGACGGGUUUGUAAGGUUAGUGUAAAUAAUUCGGCAAAUUUGAUUCUCGCCUGUUUAUCAAAAACAUGUCCUAUAGAUUUUAUUUUAGGUCUGACCUGCCCACUGAUUUUUUAAAAGGCCGCAGAAUUUUAACUGUGCAAAGGUAGCAUAAUCACUAGUUUUUUAAUUGAAAGCUUGAAUGAAUGGUUGGACGAGGGAUCUGCUGUUUCACAUUGAUUUAUAGAAUUUUAUUUUUGAGUUAAAAAGCUUAAAUUUUUUUAAAAGACGAGAAGACCCUAUAGAUUUUUAUAAUUAUUUUAUUUUAUUUGUUAAGAUUUUGUUAAUUUAUAAAAUUAAAUUAUUUAUUUUGUUGGGGUGACAAAGAAAUUUAUUAAACUUUCUUUAUUUUAUGAACUAUGAUUUUUGGUUUUAGUGAUCCUUUAUUUAAGAUUGUAAGAUUAAGUUACCUUAGGGAUAACAGCGUAAUUUUUCUGUAGAGUUCAUAUCGAUGGGAAAGAUUGCGACCUCGAUGUUGGAUUAAGAUAUAGGACUAGGCGCAGCAGUUUAGUUUUUAAGUCUGUUCGACUUGUUAUUUCUUACAUGAUCUGAGUUCAGACCGGCGUGAGCCAGGUUGGUUUCUAUCUUUAAUUAGUUAAAAUAUUUUAGUACGAAAGGACCAGAUAUUUGGAAUAUUUUUAUUUAAUUGAAUGCUAUUAA
rnacentral:rRNA from 1 species